AUGUACACACAAGGACACCGCAACUUGAGGGAGGGAGGGAGUCAGGGAGGGAGGAUAUAUGUACAUACUGGCACAGGGCAACGCCAUUCGAUUGGAGGGCAGCAGCAGGGCAGCAAGCAUCCUCUGACCUGCCAAACUGCCCCAGCAGCAGCGCGGCGGAACCUUGGCCAUUUCCUCCCUUCCAAGCACCGCCAAUCUUGUCCGGCCUCCGCGUCCACCGCGGUGCCCAACCCAAGAAAGACACAGCACAGGUGGUGGCCGUGGCACAGGAGCGGGAAGCUCGGGGAGAGGAUUAGACUGACUGACGCGACAAUGGGGGCUUCCUCUUGUUCCUCCGUGCGGCUGCUGCUGCCGCUGCUCUGCCUGCUCGGCUUCUGCUUCGCGGCGAGCCACCAGAAGUCGGACUCCUGCGACGGGGACCUCCAGGUGGCGCGCCUCGUCCCCUUCGACACCGACGCCUUCCACUGCAUCACCCUCUGGAAGGACGAGGACUUCAUCCUCAGGUACAAGAACACGGGGACGAGCCAGUGGAGCUUCGUGCUGUCGGCGCCGGAGAAGAGAUCCUACGUGGCCGUCGGGUUCUCGGGCAAGGGGGGCAUGGUCGGCAGCAGCGCCAUGGUCGGCUGGUCGUCCGGCGGCAAGGGCGUCGCCAAGCAGUACUACCUCCAGGGCAGGAGCCCGGAGGCCGUGACGCCGGACGACGGCCGCCUCACCCUGGUCAGGAACAGGACCGUCGCCGUCUCCAAGUCCGGCCGGCUCUACCUGGCCUUCGAGCUCAGCACCGACCGACCGCAGCCGUACCUGAUCUACUCCGUGGGCUACGAGGGCAGCCUCCCUUCCUCCUCCGACUACACGAUCCAGAUGCACCGCGACAUGGGCUCCCGCUCCUUCAAGUUCGCCUCCGCAUCGCCUUCUAGCGCCGGCAGCGAGUCGGGCGAGGAGGGGUUCCCGGCGAAGAGGUGGCACGGGCUGCUGUCCAUGAUGGGCUGGGGCGUGCUGCUGCCGAUGGGCAUGAUGGUGGCGCGCUACUUCCGGCGGCAGGACCCGUACUGGUUCUACGGCCACAUCGCCGUCCAGGGGCUGGGCUUCCUCAUCGGCAUCGCGGCGGUCGUCCUCGGCUUCCGGCUCAACGGGGACGGGCUCAAGAACAUCGUCGUGCACAAGGUCAUCGGCAUCUCCAUCCUGUCCAUGGCAUGCCUCCAGGUGACGGCGGUGCUGGCGCGGCCGGACAAGACGUCCAAGGUGCGGCGGUUCUGGAACUGGUACCACCACAACAUCGGGCGCGUGGCCAUCCUGCUGGCCAUGGCCAACGUCUUCCUCGGCCUCACCAUCGCCAGGGAGGUGAGCGCCUACAUCGUCUCCUACGGCGUCUUCGUCGCCGUCUGGAUCAUGGCCGUCGCCGCCUUCGAGUUCAAGCGCUACUACGAGGACGACGACUGA
rnacentral:rRNA from 1 species